AUAUACAUUCUAUCUUCAUAUAAUGUAUUAAAGUCAUAACUUUAACGAAGAAGUAUUAUUUUCAUUUCCAAAAUAAAUAUAUCAUAUAUAUUUAAAUUUUUAGGAACAUGAUUAACUCCCACUAAUCUUUUGUAAAACUAGUAAACAAAAGAUUCAUUUACAUCUUUAUGAGAAAUCAAACGAUUUGAUCCUUUUUCUCAUAAAAUGCAAAUAGCUCCCACUAGCUUGCUAAGAUUCAUGAUGGAUGGAUCUCUACAACUUACAUGUCUUGUGAUUUUUAGUUU
rnacentral:lncRNA from 1 species